AUUAUUGAUUGAAAUGAGAGGGAUUGGUUUGGCUGCUGUGGUCAUGAGGAUUAUGUUUUGACUGAUAGGGAUUAAGUUUAGUCUUUUGUCUGUCUCGCAGAAGACUUAACAGAACAAUAAGCAUCCUCAGUACUGACUGAUAAGCGCGAGAGACAAGAGUCCUGUUAUUGUGUGUGCUAGUGACCUGCGUGAAUAGAGCUUCUCUGUUUUUUGCAUGACAGGAUUUUGCAUACGAUGACUCCAAAGUGGAAUUCAAUGUUGAUGCUCCUAAUGGUGUCGUGAUGGAGGGAUACCUGUUCAAGAGGGCGAGCAAUGCUUUCAAGACAUGGAACAGGCGAUGGUUUUCAAUACAGAACAGUCAGUUAGUGUAUCAGAAGCGACUAAAAGAUGCUUUGACUGUGGUUGUGGAGGACCUGCGGCUUUGCUCUGUGA